AGAGUUUGAUCCUGGCUCAGAUUGAACGCUGGCGGCAUGCCUUACACAUGCAAGUCGAACGGCAGCACGGGAGCAAUCCUGGUGGCGAGUGGCGAACGGGUGAGUAAUAUAUCGGAACGUGCCCAGUCGUGGGGGAUAACGUAGCGAAAGCUACGCUAAUACCGCAUACGAUCUAUGGAUGAAAGCGGGGGAUCGCAAGACCUCGCGCGAUUGGAGCGGCCGAUAUCAGAUUAGCUAGUUGGUGGGGUAAAAGCCCACCAAGGCGACGAUCUGUAGCUGGUCUGAGAGGACGACCAGCCACACUGGAACUGAGACACGGUCCAGACUCCUACGGGAGGCAGCAGUGGGGAAUUUUGGACAAUGGGCGCAAGCCUGAUCCAGCAAUGCCGUGUGCAGGACGAAGGCCUUCGGG
rnacentral:rRNA from 1 species